rnacentral:lncRNA from 1 species
CAGAACACAAUUAGUCCUAGAUCCUGUUUAAUAUUUAUAGAGAUCCUCCUCUCAAAACAAAAAACACUUAUCUCCAUUAUCUGAACCCUAGCCGCCGGCUGCAGUCCUUAUGCCCCCACCCGAUCCCAUCUCUCCAUCACCUAGAACCCACCACGUCCUUCAUCAUGGAAGUCCCAACCAUUCAGCAUAUGGGGCCUGAUGUAGGCAAUUUCUAGCUGCUAUUGUUUUAUAACAAGGUAAAAUAGCUAUGUGUUGUUCCACUUUUGUCCGAUCGUUGUACACAGCCGCCACACAACACAUGAAAGUUGUGCCUUCGAUCCAUCUGAUCACCUUUCUUAGAAGUUCUUGCCAUCUCAAGAUUCCUGGUGUACUAAUGGUCGCCACAAGUUGACGUGCAUGCAUCCAUUGAUUCCCAUGUCUCUUUCCGACCCAUGUCAUCUCAUCCAAUUUCUAUUUGCUACUUAUUGUGAUUUCUCAUUGGAUUUUCAUAAUUGCUGAUAUUACAUGGACUUGGACAGAACAAGGCCCAUUGAAAGCAAAUCAUGGAGAUGGAAGUGCAAAGGUAGGACAAUGGAAAGCAUAUCCUACAUGAAGGAACAGAGGAGAGCAUACAAGAAUUCCUAUCAUCUUGAUAUUUUUAUUUCCAAUGCCUUUGAUUCUCUUUGUGAUGAGAAAAACAUUUUUAAACCCAGUUAUUAGUUGGUGGUCAGGAUGCAUGAGUGUAUUCUGAUUAUUUUAUGUUCCAUUUUUAUAUUAUAGGCAAGAGUAAUAAUGAAGACCAUCUGAAUACUUUACGAUUCUUGGACAAGAUGCACAUAAAUUAACGGGGUCUCAAGGCUGGAAACUAACUUAAGAGGGUGUGAGGUACAUAGAUCCUUAAAAAACAGGAUGAAUGUCUCCCUCACGGCAUGGUCUUACAAAUACGACACAUCGAUUCAUGCACAAUGCACAAAAUAAGAAGCUGAUGCAACGGUAUGUUUGUGUUACCCUACUGGAUAUGGGAAGAAGUCACUAAAUGAGGUUCAUUGGUGCACGACCAGCCGUGAUGAUGUCCAACGACAAGCAUGCAACUGGUGGAAAGGCAACAUCAAGCAGUGGAAAGGUUGACGGGUUGUCGCAUGACAUUGCGGAGUUUUCCUAUCGCAUGCAGUGAACAAGGCAAGAGGAGGAGGGAAAUUGUUGCUUCCUGGAUUUAAUAUUUGGAUUUUCAGUAUGUAAAUUAGGAUGCAUGCAUCAUAGUUUCAAACAGAGAAAGAGAGGAGCAGUCCAUGUUUGAUUUUGUUGUCGUAUUUGAUCGCAAACAGCAUGUAUGUUGGAUCAGGCCUGCAAGUAACAGGAGGAAAUUGAUUUCUCUCACUUAGUGAUGAUAUUAAAACAGAUGGUUUCGUGGAAUUUUGGGUGCUUGCUCUAGAUAUAAAUCUAGAUAAUAUACUCACACGUUGUGGUAUUCAAGGUGAACGUAUAGCAUUUCUUGACGUUA